rnacentral:misc_RNA from 1 species
GAUGAAGAACGUAGCGAAAUGCGAUAAGUAGUGUGAAUUGCAGAAUUCAGUGAAUCAUCGAAUCUUUGAACGCACAUUGCGCCCCUUGGUAUUCCAUGGGGCAUGCCUGUUCGAGCGUCAUUUGUACCUUCAAGCUCUGCUUGGUGUUGGGUGUUUGUCUCGCCUCUGCGCGUAGACUCGCCUCAAAACAAUUGGCAGCCGGCGUAUUGAUUUCGGAGCGCAGUACAUCUCGCGCUUUGCACUCACAACGACGACGUCCAAAAGUACAUUUUUACACUCUUGACCUCGGAUCAGGUAGGGAUACCCGCUGAACUUAAGCAUAUCAAUAAGCGGAGGA